AUACGUAGGUGACAAGCGUUAUCCGGAUUUACUGGGCGUAAAGGGCGUGUAGGCGGUCUUGCAAGUCAGAAGUGAAAUUCCUGAGCUCAACUCGGGCGCUGCUUCUGAAACUGCAGGACUUGAGUGCUGGAGGGGAUAGCGGAAUUCCUAGUGGAGCGGUAAAAUGCGCAGAUAUUAGGAAGAACACCGGUGGCGAAGGCGGCUAUCUGGACAGUAACUGACGCUGAGGCGCGAAAGCGGGGGGAGCAAACAGGAUUAGAUACCCUGGUAGUCCACGCCGUAAACGAUGACAACUAAAUAUUGCCGCGAGGCAGUGUUGAAGCUAACGCAUUAAGUUGUCCGCCUGGGGAGUACUGUCGCAAGACUGAAACUUAAAGGAAUUGACGGGG
rnacentral:rRNA from 1 species